AGCCUUGAGGUGUUUUGACAUAUGAGAUUGCAAAUCCCGAGGAGCAGACUAACGUCUGCCGGGGCUU
rnacentral:tRNA from 1 species